GAUAGUCAAAGUCACAAACACAGAGACAAAGAGAGAAAGAACCGGGCAGAUGACCAGAUGAAGCUGAGAGAGUAUCGCAAUGACCAGAUGAAACCAAGAGACCAGAUGAAGCCGACGAGAUGAACUGUGAUGAGCCAACAAGUCGCGAUGACCAAAUGAAGCCGCAAUGAUUGAUUGCAAUUCACAGCAGAUGGGGUGCGACAAGGAGUCGCGAUUGAACCGAGAGACAGAGGGCUCUGGGUCGACUUCGAAUAGUUUUUGAACCAGACGAAAACUUUGAGUCAGACGAAGAACCAGAUGGAGCAAACCCACUACGGCUGCUAGGGUUUCAAAUCUGCAAGCUAAGGUUUCAAACUAAGCUUUGAUACCAUGUGUACUUCUUGGUUCACUUAAUGAACUUAUUUCCAUUUUCUCAAAAUAACAACAGCAAAUGGUAAAUUAAAAUCAAGAUGCUGUUCUUUUAGAGGACGAAAAUGAAAAUAAAUAAAGAAGCACGCAAGGCUUCCCCUUGAUAGCAAGAGUUCUCCAAUCACAAUUCGCUAUAAGAAGCAUGCAAUCAUUGAUUGAUACACUGUACAGGCUUCGAGUAAAGGUUCAAAACUGUACUUAAUCAAAGCAACUCUUUCAAAUUUGACAGAAUAUUACCUCUCGACAUUCAAGUUUCCUAUUUCAGUGGAGAAGGAACUUACAGAAUUGCAGAGGAAAUUCUUAUGGGAGGAUGGAGAGGUAAAAAAGAAAUUGGAUCUUGUUAGUUGGAAUGAAGUGCUUUUAAGGAUCAUGGAGUCUUAGGAGUUGGCUCUCUGAGAGUUAAAAAUGAACCUCUUUUGUCUAAAUGGCGAUGGAGAUUUGGGAUGGAAAAAGGGACUCUAUGGAGAAAGCUGAUUUAUGAAAAAUAUAGAGGUAAAUUGAAGAGCUGGUUUCCAAGGGAGGGAGUUGAGAAAAGCACAGCAGGUAAAUCAGGGUUUAAAAUAACUAUAUCGGGAUAUGUAACAGCAUCGGUGAUAUGAUCAUAUAUCGGCCGAUAUUGGAUAGUAACGGACAGUAUCGGCCGAUAUAUCAAUGAAUAACGGUAUCGGAAGGCCAAAAACCCAUUACGUAAUGGCCAAUACGAUACGUAAUGGACGAUAUUUAAAACCCUGGGUAAAGUAUUAAGAAGAAAUCUUUCUAUAGUUGUAGGGGAUGGCCGAUCUAUCAAAUUUUGGACUGAUCUGUGGAUUGGGGACAAAAUUCUCAAAGUGGCAUUUCCAAGACUGUUUUCUUUGUCAGUCCAAAAAGACACUUUUGUGGUUGAUUUAUUUACAAGGACUUCUGGUGCUCCUUGCUGCAAGCAGUACAUGAACUUUUGUCUCAAUUGAAAUCCACAAAGAUGGAUUCAAGUAUGGACAAUAAAUUGAUCUGCAAGGCUGAACAAAAUGGCGUCUUCUCUGUUAAAUCUGUCUGCAGUAACUAUGAGAAUCUCACAGGACUCGAUUAGGACUUCAUUUGAAUCAUCUGAAAGAACUUCAUAUCUUUAAAAAUUCAGAUUUUCUAUGGGCAAGCCUUAAAAGGCCGAAUUGCAACUCAAGACCUCUUGAUUAAACGGAACAUCAUUUCAUCACAAUCCAAUCCUUGCUGUGUUUUCUGCAGGUUUGAAUAGAAGAGGCUGAGCACAUGCUUCUGUUAUGAAAUCAUGCUUGGAAGCUUUGGAGUGAUAUUUUAAAAUGGUGAGAUUUAAAGUGUGUUUUCCCAGGUUCUUUGCAUUCAUUAUCUGCAUGGUGGUUCAACAUGGGCUUCAUAGGUUGCAAGAAAUUAAUCUGGGAAUCCCUUUUUCUACUUAGUUUUAUGUCCCUUUGGUUAUCUAGAAAUGCUGCAAUUUUCGAGGGCUUAACUGAUCUGGUGAAGGUGAGAGCAACCAAGUGGGUAAAUGCUAAUUCCAAAUAUGAUUGCUACUCCCUUAACCAUUGGGACUGGUUGUACAAAACAGCCACUGCAUAAUUUUCCCUAGGGUGCUCUGGUUCAAUGCUUUUCUUUUCUUUUCUUUUUUUUUGUUCUCUGUUCUUUGUUUCUUUGGCAUGCUUGAAUCUUCCAUGGUUAGGCCACUGCCUAUUCCUACCACUUUCAGGCUGGUUUGAGCAUCUUCUUCCCUUGUAAUGUUUUAUUAUCCCAAGAAAAUAUUACUUUUGCUGAUUAAAAAAAAAAGAAGUUCAAAACUGUAAUCGGAUCGGAUUUUUAAUCAGAUGGGAUUCAGACUUAUCCAAAUCCGGUUUGAUAAUAAUCAGAUUCGGAUUAUCAGAUUGGACUUAUGUUAACAUA